UAUUUAUUUAUUUAUUUAUUUAUUUUUUCUGUUUUGCCUCCCCCUCUUGAGACAGGCCUUUCUAUGUAUACCUGGUCGUCCUGGAAUACGUAGACCAGGCUGACCUCAGACUCACAGCGAUGUUCCUGCCUCUGCCUCCCAAAUGCUGGGGUUAAAGGCCUGAGUCAUCAUGCCUGGCUAAGAUGCUUGUUUGCUUUGUCUGUCUGUUUCUUUAACAUACUUCCUCCAACCAGGCCACACCUACUCCAACAAGGCUUCACCUCCUAUUAGUGCCACUCCCUAUGGGCCUAUGGGAGCCUUUUUUUUUUUAAAUUCAGUUGAACCAGAGUCCUCUGAAAGAGCAGCCAAUGCUUUUAACCAUUGAGCGAUUAUCUCUCCCAGGAUGCUUAUUCUUAAAGACCUUUUCUAGUAACUCUUUGUCAGUCUCUUAAAGAUUUUGGAGUCAUGAUCUUCAUACUUUAUGGAAUGAAAUAAUGUAUAAAAAUUAUUGUACAUAAAAAUUCAAAUCAUUAGAUUAUUUUAGCCAGAAGGAGCUUAUCAAAUAUAUGUGUAACUACUUUAUCCUAUGGGAAACAGUAGGUUAGAAUAAUUAUAAAAGGAAAACAUUAUUAAGUAUUUUGUGAGAGAUAGUCUUAAGUACAUUGCUAAGAGUUUUUAUAAACAUUAAGUCUCUGAACACGCUGUGCUUCCCAAGAAAAUCAUAAUGCAAUUUUUCUGGUUACAGAUUUUCUGUCUGUGCUGUUAUUAUCAAUUCUAUUGAAUAGUUUUUGGUGCUUCUCCUUUGAAAAUGAAAGAACAUUUUCAGUCAUUCCAUACCAAAACAUGUAGCAUCUGGUAAGAGAUUAAAAUAAUAUAUUUCAGUAAAAGCACUCCAGUUAUUCAGAAUUGGUUGCUACUUGUCAAAAACCAACAAAAGAACAACAACAGCAAAAUCUCAAACAAAACAAAAACCCCCCAAACGGGAAGUGACUCAGAGCCACUGAAAAUAGGUCUUUACAUUUACAUAUGCAAUGGAAUUAUUUACCCGUAAUAAACAAAGAGCUGAGGGUUACAGCUCAGCUGUAGAACAUUGCCUAACAUAGAUGAAGUUCUGGAGUUAAUCUUAGGACGGGAUGGGGUUUGGGGGGGGGUGGGAACCAGGAAAGGGGCUAACAUUUGAAAUGUAAAUAAAGAAAAUAUCC
rnacentral:lncRNA from 1 species